AGGGGGUGACGCGUGGCGGCUCUAUGAGUACAUCACCAGACACUUCAUCGCCACGGUCAGCCAUGACUGCAAGUACCUGCAGAGCACCAUCUCCUUCAGAAUUGGGCCCGAGCUCUUCACCUGCUCCGGGAAGACCGUCCUCUCACCAGGCUUCACGGAGGUCAUGCCCUGGCAGAGCGUGCCCCUGGAGGAGAGCCUGCCCACUUGCCAGCGGGGUGACGCCUUCCCUGUGGGCGAGGUGAAGAUGCUGGAGAAGCAGACGAACCCACCCGACUACCUGACGGAGGCCGAGCUCAUCACGCUCAUGGAGAAGCAUGGCAUCGGUGGGUGCGCCUGCCCAGGCCCCAGAGCCGGCUCCGUCUCCAGUACUCAGGCUUCGAGUCUACUCACAAAGCUGCCCCGCCAGCCCUGUGUGCCCAGCCCAGCACCCCUCCAUGGGCUGGUAUCUGGAAACUGGUGACCCAGUGUGUGGCCAGCCAGGCAGGUCCACAGCGGGCAUCCCCUCCUGAGGCCUCCAUUCAGGACCUGGCCUUCCCUGUGAGGGCCCAGAUGUGCCCUCGUGCACUGUGGGGUGUGCACACACCGACUAACGCCCACAAGGCUGAAGAUUGGCCCAGAUGCCAG
rnacentral:sRNA from 1 species